ACGAAAUUCAUCGGACGAUCCUCCCACGCGCUCUGCCUCCCAUUUUUCGCGAAAAAACUGCCUCCCUUUCCCCGUUCCUCCAUGCCGCACCGCCUCCCCAUCGUCGUCGUCGCCGCCCCGUCGCCCCUGCUCGCCCGCAUCCACCGCGCCGCCUCCCUCCCUGGGGGCCCUAGCCCCUUCUUCCUCCCCCCACCGCACCCCCGUGCCUCCCUCCCCGCAGCGUCGCCAUACCCUCCUCCUCCUCGCUGCGCCCCCGGCUCCGCCCACAUCCACGUUUGGGAGUGCAUAUUCUCCGCGGUCCGCGGCGGCCAAGCAGUUUUCUCUCACGGGUGGUGCCACCCCCUCACCGCCGUUCGUCUUCUCGGCAAAAAUCCGGCGACCAAAGCAGCAAUAGGAGGUUGCAGGAUGAGCAACAGUCGGUCACCCCGCCGCCGCAGAACGUUUGCCAAGACGGCCGGGGGCGAGGCCUCCCGCUCCUCCAUCACGUCCGGAUCGGCGGGCACGCAGUGCUGCACAUUCUUCACUUCGCCGGCUAAGGCGGCCUCCUCCAUUGCUUUCGGCUUCCUAUUCUUUAUCUGAAUAACCACCCAGGUCUUCAUUUCUAUCGCCACUUCUUGCGCAUCUCAUGCUCUGAUUUUAUUGCAGCAGCCAGCUGGAAUCAAAGAAUUCCUCUAUCGAGGCAUCGUGUUAGAUCACGCCGACCUGCCAAAAUGUCUGCCACUGGCCCACUGCCGCUUCCGCCCUUCCUCCUGCUCCCCCGCGCCGCCGCGCUUCACUGACCCACCGCUGGUAACCCUUGCGUUGGUCCCACUUUCUCUGAGGUCGCUGCCUACUUGGAGGGCCGGCCAGAUGUGGUCGUGCAGUCCUUGAGAGAGGAGGAGGGUUGGCGCCAUAUGCAUUGCAUCACACGCAAGUGCGUCACUACCCCGAGCUCCGUAUGUGCGAUUGCAGCCGCCUCCACUCGCCAAGUCGCCAUGCCAAUCUGAUCUAAGAGCGCAUGUUGCAGAGUGAACACCAUGGAUGCGGCUUGCAUGCAGAGUUGCAGAGUGAAGACAAUGGCCAUCGUUGUUCAGUCUACCACGAGCCAGCUGCACAAAUGCUUGAUUCAGCUUUCAACUUCCAACCUGAUUUUAGAGCAAGCAGGCAAUAAUCUCGCCAAUUGAAAUCAACCGAUCAACAUAUCUAUCGAUGUGCCUAUAAGAUGCGGUAAACCAACAAGAAGAAGUGCUUGAUUUACUUUCCAAUUCAUAUUUCAGGUAUCUUUAAGACCUCACAAAAUUUUCUCCAGAAGCAAUACUUGUAUGAGCAAAGCGAGGAGUUAGCUAGGGGGGCAACAACUGCAUGCCUAAGCAAGUCAAUGAGCUGUGGGCUGAAGUCGAGCAAGUGCGUGGGUGAAGUUAGUGUACUACAGUAAUUCUCCUGUAUCAAGGGAGCAGCAACAGAAAAAGCUGCCUUGCCGCCGCCAACAUUGAAGAGAAUGGCAUAGAUGCCAUGUUGAGGAUGGGUAGCACCUGCAGAAGGCACAAACCUGCUGCCCCAAGGCUGGAGGGGGCACUCGAGGAAAACACCAUGGUGGGCGGUUGCUAUCGGGGACCCGUGAUGGUUAUCGUCAAGGAGAAGCAACAGUGCAAAAAAUUACACCUCCUUUCACAGUAAGGAAACCUGCAACCUUAUAUACUACCAUUUUAUCCCCCAUGCGCUAUUUUAGAUAGAGUUUCAGGGUUUUGAGCUUGAAAUUUUCCAAUGGUUUGAGAUGGUUGAUAGUUCUUAAAAAGUAGUUGCUUGUGAUCGAUAUAAUUUUUUUUUGACGUAAAUGAUCGAUAUAAUGCAAGGGUCAAUGUGGAAGGUAUAUAUUAUUUUUAUCAUUUAUGGCCAGAUGAUCCAAUUUGGUAAUGUAUACAUUUCUUAUGAAUUAUGCAAGGAGAGCAAUUGUGUUCUUACCUCUA